AGUCAGGUCUAUAAUUGGAAACGUUUCAUGCAUCAUUUAUGAAGUCAGGUCUAUAAUUGGAAACGUUUCAUGCAUCAUUUAUGAAGUCAGGUCUAUAAUUGGAAACGUUUCAUGCAUCAUUUAUGAAGG